UGUCCUUCCACUCCUACAUCCCUUUCUCUCCCCUUUUCCUCCCCCCUUUCUCUCCCUCCCCUUUCUUUCUUUCUAACUUUCCCCUACUCACCUCCACCAAAUUAAGGACAUCUUGUCAAUUAAAGACACCGCUAGAGUCGCGAUUCAGAUCUGCCACCGGAAACUGCAGCAGCGAAUAGAAGUUGAGGAAGAGAAAGAGGGAGGUAGAAGAAACGACGGAGAAAUCACCACGGGUUCAGAUCUGCCACCGGAAGUUGCAGCAGUGAAUAGAAGUUAAGGAAUGCAGAACGUGUUCAGAUCUACUGCCGCUCUGUUUUUCGUGAAGAAGAUGAACAGUGUUCGGAAAUGAAUUCGGUGAUUUGAUGGUGGAAGAAGAAGAAGAGAAGAGGAGAGAAGGGGAAGAAGAAAUGAAUUCGGUGAUUCUGCCGCCCCUGCAACUCUGUUCGAAUGAAGGGGAAGAACUCUCUUGACCCCUCCUCUGCUUCUGGCCACCUCCAUUGAAACUGGAAGAGCAACCGUCUAAAACCCAAAACCCUUGACAUACGGUUGAAACCCCCAUUGAAACCCAGAACUCUCUUGACCCCUCCUACCUCUACACAGCAGCAGCGGCAGCAUGGCUGCUCUCACAACCCAAACCCUUGACAUACGCCCACAAUACUACAACCCAAAGCUCCCAGCCCACACGCUCUCUUGACCCCUCCGCCGCUUCUGUCCACCUCCAAUGAAACUAGAAGAGCAACCGUCUGAAACCCAAAACCCUCGACAUACGGUUGAAACCCCCAUUGAAACCCAGAACUCUCUUGACCCCUCCUAUCUCUGCACAGCAGCGGCAGCAUGGCUGCCCUCACAACCCAAACCCUUGACAUACGUCCACAGUACUACAAUCCAAAGCUCCCAGCCCACACGCUCUCGUCCUCCAAGAAGUACGAGGAUUCUUCCGACCUCGUUCACCUUCAACAUUUACCUCAUCCGGUACGGCAAGUGGAAACCAUCUCAUAAGUUCAUCAUCAAGGACUUCCUCCUCUCCAUCUCUGCCAACCAUCGCGCAGCCGCUUCGCCUUCUGUCUCUGAGUGGUGGAGAACCGCUUCUCUUUAUACCGACCAGACCGGCGCCAACGUCUCCCGAACGGUGCUCAUCGCAUAGAAGCCGGCCUACCAUGAGAAGGGUGGUUGAGUUGCUCAAGGAUCACACAUCUGUUGGUUAUUCCGGCCUACACCUCGUAUCAAAUGAUCAUCUUGCUCAUUAUUAAUCCUUCUUUCUUUGAUUUUUGAUUUCUUAUCCUAUUCAGACGUUGGGGUGGAACCGGGCAUGGCUGGAGCCAUUGCUGCAACCAUUAUUGGAUGCAGCGAAGAACAUCUGACUGGUGGUGGAUGGAGGCUUUACCGGAUCUUCAUUUUCUUGAGAAAGAAGAUGAUGAACAUAAUUGAUGACUAGAUUAUUGUAAAAUGAAAAUUCAGGUAUUAGACUGUCACCUUUUAAAGUUCAGAUAUUAAAUUGCAUUCAACUCAACGUACAGGGUACC